rnacentral:rRNA from 1 species
CAACCUGCCGACAACUCUGGGAUAGCCUUUCGAAAGAAAGAUUAAUACCGGAUGGUAUAAUUAUUCCGCAUGGGAUUAUUAUUAAAGAAUUUCGGUUGUCGAUGGGGAUGCGUUCCAUUAGGCAGUUGGCGGGGUAACGGCCCACCAAACCUACGAUGGAUAGGGGUUCUGAGAGGAAGGUCCCCCACAUUGGAACUGAGACACGGUCCAAACUCCUACGGGAGGCAGCAGUGAGGAAUAUUGGUCAAUGGACGAGAGUCUGAACCAGCCAAGUAGCGUGAAGGAUGACUGCCCUAUGGGUUGUAAACUUCUUUUAUACGGGAAUAAAGUGAGCCACGUGUGGCUUUUUGUAUGUACCGUAUGAAUAAGGAUCGGCUAACUCCGUGCCAGCAGCCGCGGUAAUACGGAGGAUCCGAGCGUUAUCCGGAUUUAUUGGGUUUAAAGGGAGCGUAGGCGGGUUGUUAAGUCAGUUGUGAAAGUUUGCGGCUCAACCGUAAAAUUGCAGUUGAUACUGGCGACCUUGAGUGCAACAGAGGUAGGCGGAAUUCGUGGUGUAGCGGUGAGAUGCUUAGAUAUCACGAAGAACUCCGAUUG